rnacentral:rRNA from 1 species
GAUGAACGCUGGCGGCGUGCCUAAUACAUGCAAGUCGAGCGAACGGACGAGAAGCUUGCUUCUCUGAUGUUAGCGGCGGACGGGUGAGUAACACGUGGAUAACCUACCUAUAAGACUGGGAUAACUUCGGGAAACCGGAGCUAAUACCGAAUAAUAUUUUGAACCGCAUGGUUCAAAAGUGAAAGACGGUCUUGCUGUCACUUAUAGAUGGAUCCGCGCUGCAUUAGCUAGUUGGUAAGGUAACGGCUUACCAAGGCAACGAUGCAUAGCCGACCUGAGAGGGUGAUCGGCCACACUGGAACUGAGACACGGUCCAGACUCCUACGGGAGGCAGCAGUAGGGAAUCUUCCGCAAUGGGCGAAAGCCUGACGGAGCAACGCCGCGUGAGUGAUGAAGGUCUUCGGAUCGUAAAACUCUGUUAUUAGGGAAGAACAUAUGUGUAAGUAACUGUGCACAUCUUGACGGUACCUAAUCAGAAAGCCACGGCUAACUACGUGCCAGCAGCCGCGGUAAUACGUAGGUGGCAAGCGUUAUCCGGAAUUAUUGGGCGUAAAGCGCGCGUAGGCGGUUUUUUAAGUCUGAUGUGAAAGCCCACGGCUCAACCGUGGAGGGUCAUUGGAAACUGGAAAACUUGAGUGCAGAAGAGGAAAGUGGAAUUCCAUGUGUAGCGGUGAAAUGCGCAGAGAUAUGGAGGAACACCAGUGGCGAAGGCGACUUUCUGGUCUGUAACUGACGCUGAUGUGCGAAAGCGUGGGGAUCAAACAGGAUUAGAUACCCUGGUAGUCCACGCCGUAAACGAUGAGUGCUAAGUGUUAGGGGGUUUCCGCCCCUUAGUGCUGCAGCUAACGCAUUAAGCACUCCGCCUGGGGAGUACGACCGCAAGGUUGAAACUCAAAGGAAUUGACGGGGACCCGCACAGGCGGUGGAGCAUGUGGUUUAAUUCGAAGCAACGCGAAGAACCUUACCAAAUCUUGACAUCCUUUGACAACUCUAGAGAUAGAGCCUUCCCCUUCGGGGGACAAAGUGACAGGUGGUGCAUGGUUGUCGUCAGCUCGUGUCGUGAGAUGUUGGGUUAAGUCCCGCAACGAGCGCAACCCUUAAGCUUAGUUGCCAUCAUUAAGUUGGGCACUCUAAGUUGACUGCCGGUGACAAACCGGAGGAAGGUGGGGAUGACGUCAAAUCAUCAUGCCCCUUAUGAUUUGGGCUACACACGUGCUACAAUGGACAAUACAAAGGGCAGCGAAACCGCGAGGUCAAGCAAAUCCCAUAAAGUUGUUCUCAGUUCGGAUUGUAGUCUGCAACUCGACUACAUGAAGCUGGAAUCGCUAGUAAUCGUAGAUCAGCAUGCUACGGUGAAUACGUUCCCGGGUCU